UUCUCGGUUCGUUUCACUUGGUUUCUUGGACACCGAGAGCCUUGCUGAUCCGCACUGUCAUCCGAUACUGGCAGCUUCCAGCUAGUUUACUCUUCGAGAGUCGAUUUCUUCUUUCUGCGGCUCCCUCGUGUCACGUGGACGAAGCCUCGGAUUACGAGAAGGAAAGGAGGCCGGUCUCGUAUUCUCGUUCGUGCUUCGAAUCGAAGCAAGAAGUCGACGCGUGAAACCUCGAGGGUAAUCGACGUCCUAACAGGACGACGGCUUCGAACUCACCGGUAUCGACAGGAUAAAGAUACUCUAUCGAUGAAAUAAAUGGAAGAAGUUGAAGGAGCACGAUUCGUGGCACGUAAAAGAAGAGAUCAGGAAGUUUUUAUCGUGGACCGGGUGCGAGCGCCGGCCGUGACGUGGUAAUUAAUCCGUGCCCCUCGCCUUUUAGUUAAUUCAAGCUCUCUGCCUCCGAAGGCAGUACCGAGAUUAUAGCUGCUUGAUUAGCUGGCUCUUUACAACUCCAGCGAGAAUAGCUAUUUAUACGAACAUACAGGGCAAACUGUUCGAUCGUAAAGGUCAAACGUAAUGUCAACGAUUUACUCUCGCUUUUCCUGUAAAUUCAUACGGGUUGCCACCGGCCAAACAGCCAGCCAACCAACCAACCAACCAACCAACGAACCAACCAACCAGACCGAUCAUAAUCUUUUUAUCUAAUACUUCUCUGUAUACGUGACAUACGUUGCACAAAUGGGGAGACGGAAGAAGAAGAAGAAGAAGAAGAAGAAGAAGAAGAAGAAGAAGAAGAAGAAGAAGAAGAAGAAGAAAGAGAAAAAAAAAGGAAUCUUUACUCUCAUGAAAGUGUAGAGAUAAGUGUAUAUGAUUUACGACGGAUUCGUAAGAUGAUUUGUAAUAGUGCCCCGUUUAACCCCGAAUGAAAUUAAUUGCCAAUCUCUAUGACGGUUAAAUUUCUUACACUUCUUCAUCUGAUUAUUAUCACCGUGAGAUCGCAACUAUUAUUUUUCCAUUUUAUUAGAUGAAAAUAUUAUACGAGCUAUGAAAAAAGAUUUCCGCAUUUAGAAUUGUCAGAUUUUGCAUCUUCUUGUAUGAUAGAUGUAUGAUAAACAAUGAUUAAGCAUAUAAUAACCGUCAUCUUUUGAGUGUUGAAAAGAUAAAUAGAUAGAGAGAAAGAGAGAGAAAGAAGAAAAAAAAGGGAGAAAAGGAAAGAAGCUCGAGAGAGAAAGAAUGACACGAAGAGCAUCCAUCCUACCAGCAUGUACUUAUUUUACAUCUCGAGUAGAUCGAAGAGUUCAG